GUGAUCUAUAAUGUGAAUGAAUCAAGACGUGUAGGAUAGUUGGACACACUAUGAAUACAAUUUUCAAAACCGUACCAUGAUAGUACACAUAUGUAGAUGCUAUAAGGUUAAACUAUUAAAACAAACAAACAAAAAUUGAAUUAAAAUUUUAAAAUAAAUUAACGUUCCUGUUAGUAUUUUUUUUCAAAUUCUAUUGAAUAUUAUAUAUAAUAUCAAUAAACACGAACGUCAAGUAUUUACGGAUGGA
rnacentral:lncRNA from 1 species